GUCUCUAUCAACCUUAUUCGUAAUCAGAUUCAUUGCUUUCUUUCUCCCUUUGCUUUGGAGCAGAGGAGGAUGAUGAGGAGAUUCUGACGUCAGCGGCGGAGAUCAAACGAAGCAGGAGGGGUGAUAUGGUAAAUGUAGCAUGCGUGUUUAAUCGCCCUAUCGAGGCUUUUGUGAAUACGACGACGUACGGUGUUCAUCUAGGAUUCUUAAAUUAAUUUUGUUAAUAAUGAUGGUGACAAAAAAACAUACAGAUGAUAUGGCCAAUGAUUCUGCUGUUUAAGCAACAAGCUGAUUAAUGAAUAUGUCUGUUUAUUAA